AAUGAAGCUAGAAAGGAGAGGGCAGCUGCAUGUAGUGGAAAACCAUGAAAUUUGUUGCUUAGAAGUUAAAAUUUUCAAGUAGAAGGGUAACUCUUCUAAACUCUCCCUUGCCCAUAGCUUUUCGUUGACAAAUUCUGGUUGCAUUGUUGAUUUGAGCUUGGCGAAUAUGUGGGAGUAGAGAAGAUUUUCUUUUCUAGUUGCAAAUGUUGCAUGUCUAGUAGAUGAAGAGUUUCUCACUUGUGUUAAAAGAAUUUAGUGAAUGCUUGUGUUGUUAUAAUUCAUUUUUGUAACUUUGGGGUUGAUUGUAUUUAGCUAACAAGGUAGGAGAAGGUUGUAGUAGAAAAGGGAAAGAGCAAAUUGAAUAGGUAGAAUCGGUGUUGGGAACCUUAGUGAGCUUUCCUUGAACUUUUAUUCUCUUGUGUUUGACAAUUGUUGAAAAUGUUAAAUCAUUGUCCGAAUUUUACCUUGUUGGUAUUAUUCAUUGCUGCCCUGCUUAUGCUAUCUGAUUGUGG
rnacentral:lncRNA from 1 species